ACCACUAUCGAGAGGUAGUGCUGAACGUACAGAAGUCAGCCGAGGUCAUAGUAGUCGAGUACCACAGGGUACUUCGGUGAAGGAC
rnacentral:ncRNA from 1 species